AUAUUCGACACCACUUAUUAUUGGAACGACCCAUACCAUAUCUUGAAACUCCAUGUGCUGUCCCAUUAGUUGUGCCAUUACUCCCAAACCGCCUAUUUUAACUCGAAUGCCCAGAUCGGGUACAUCAUAUUCUAAGGUGGCUACAAGAACAUUUAAUCGUUUUUCAGACUCUGGAAGCUGUUUGAGCAAUUCUGAACUAUUGUCGAGAGGUAAAUGAACACUAAAUGGAAAUAUCCGAGACAUUAUGCUCUUGAUCUUUUGUUUCGCAACUUUUAUGCCCCUAUUAUGGGAGCCGUUAAAAAUGGUAACUCUGGAAAAUGCGCCGCUGUACAAAGCUACCGAAAAAAUACCAAAUAGGGGUGGAAGAAGAAUCAGUAGAACAAUGGCAACGAUUUGAACUGUCCAAGAACCCUUUGGAAUAUAAUGUAACUGCCUCGUAAAAUCGUUCAGAUACAUUUUAUAAGAAAGGUAUGGUUUCGGGGGCGGAUCAAGGAAACGAAUAAAAUUAGAUAUACGACUACUUCCUGGGGGAACUCUAUCAAUUAUAGUAUCAUUAUCUAAAUCACCGUAAACCCAUCCUUGAUCGGCAUUAUUGUCUGGAUUCAUGCCCCAAACGUUUAGAACAAGUUCAGCAGGCCAAGUUGAAAUUAAAUCAUAACUCCAAGUCCGAUUCUCUAAAUUAUAUGACAUCUUACUUGGCAUUGAACCAUCGUAGCCAAAUCUGUUAAACGCACCUUGAACGAAAAGAUUAGGAAAUUGACGAGAAUAAUUUAACGUAUCACCAUGCUGAACGUGAGCAGUAGAAAGAGCGAUACUAGACCAGUAUUGAACUAUA